AAACCAAACCAAAACAAAGAAACAAACAUCUCCCAAAUGAAAAUCAAAACCUGAACUAUCAUAAGAAGGUAGAUGUUGUUCCAGAGGACAUGGGAAAUCUUGGUAGUAGCUGAAUGGAUGCCCUGGAUGAUCUGGGAGGUCUUGUCCAGCAUUGGCAAUUCUAUGGUUCUUGCUGUGAACACCCUGAAGUUCUGCUUCUUCUGCAGAGCUGCUAUGCCACUGUAGCACUUGGAGUCUGACAGUAAAUCCAUGGAGUACAUGGUGCUUGAAACAAAACUUCGUUGCUGAGCUUAAGGGAUUAAGGGAAGGGACUGUAUUUGCCUGCUGCAGGUAGAUGCAGCGUCCUCAAGGACCCCAGAACCUGCAUGGAAACAUGGAGGAGAGGAGAGAGGAAAUAACCUUUACAGAAAGAAAAUCAGACAAAUCAUCUUUAUCAUUCAAACAAAAGAUGAUAUGUAUAAGGCCAUUUGUGUUAUUUUUUUCCUCAUUAAGAAUGUUAUUAAUGAAGGUAACUUUCCAUCAAGUAUUGGUCUUGUUACAGGAGAUAGAAAUGAGCAUGAUAGAUAAAGCCCAUGAGCCUUUCCUGUAUAGCUUUUAUAUAUAGAAUAGCAGCAGGUGCUGGGAAAGACACUAUGGAACUCAAAGGAGCCUAUCACUCCUCCCCAAAAACUGUACUAACUGUGCACUGAUUUCAGUGAAAGAAGUUUUAUCACCUCCUGAUGACAUGUGAGAGCAGAAUCUAGUCAAUAAACAUCACAUGCAAAUACAUCAACAGACCCUACGCUGGAAUCAUUUAGUUAGAGCGAAACCCUUUAGCUGAAUCACAAAAAUCCCUCUUGAUUUGGAAAAGUUACUUCCCACCUACUUCAGUUUAGCGCAGUGGGAAUUUGGCAUCGUAAUCCCUUAAAUAACAGUGAAAAAUCUCAACCUGAAGUGAACUCUGACAUCAAUCUAACGAGCACCCAAAGAAGUCACACGAUGGAGAGUCUUUAAAUCACAGCAUGACCGGUAGCAGAGGAAGUAGAGGGACCAGUAGCAUAACCAGUCAAUGAUAUGGGUACAGAUGCCUGCAAGUUAUACACUGCCUAAUGAAGAGAGGUUGUACUCCACCAAAUGAUGCACAGAAAAAGGCUCUGUGUUUUCAUUUUAUAACAAGGUAUGAAAUAAAUGGACUUAGGCUUGCAGCCACAGUAAAUCUGUCCUAAAUCCUUUCACCUUGUUCCAAGAGUGGGAGUGGGAGAUCCACUGAGGUUAGCCCAGACUUCGGUUUCUCCCAGGAGAACUUGGAUUACUUCAGCUCCUGGGAUGAAUAGCAUGGUUGGAAUAGCACUUGUAUUAGGUAAUACAUAUGAAUAUAAAAUCUAGUUUUCUAUUUUAUCUGACAUGGCUAUACCUAGGUAAAAACCCAGGCACUUUAAGUUGUUCAAGAUAGUUUGUGUGAAAUUUCUGCAUAGAAAGGGUAUGAUGGUUCCAUCUGAGGACCCUGGCAUUUCCUGAAGUUAUGUUGUACCUAGAUAGGAGACAAUUGAGAUUUGCUGAUUUACAUCAGCUGUGAAUUCAUGAAUUCAUGCAGGCAUUUAGUGGAGAUACCACCUGCUUCCUGAAAUGGAAGAAAAUAAACUCAGUGUUGAAACUGAUCUCAUGUUAUCCAGGAAAUCUGCAUGUAUAUACAGUAACAUGCUGUCCUGUUCUUUAUGGUUUUAGGAAAUGAACAAGUGACUUCAAGGACAAAAAAAUACUCUUCUGCCAGUUCAAGAAAAGAUAAUGGAUGAGGUAUUACAGAACCUGCAGUCGGGCAGCCCCGUCAUAGUUGGCACCGACCGUGCUACCACCUGCCGCCUCCUCAGCGUCCCAGCAGAAAUCCACACAAAACCUGGCUUGUCUUUGGGUAAUUCCACUUGUAAAGUAGAAGCAGCUCACUUAAGCAUUGCACACGGCAUCUUAUUAAGCACCUUGUGAUAUGUAAAAUUAAAACAACUGAAAGAAAAUUUCUGAAAAUGCUUCUCUACACUUUGUGACCACAGCUGACUUGUAUCUGGUGAGGUUUCCUGGGUCAUGAGUCCAUAGUUCCCAUAACCUUUUGGAAAAUGUCUGAUUUAACUUUAUUUUGCUUCAAUAAUAACUACUACUGCUGUGUUAACCAAUCAAAAGAAAACAAGUGGUCAAAGCAAGACCUAGAAAAACAGAUCCAGGAUGAUAUAGAUGUAGGUUGAACAUGAUUUGGUUCUGAGUGCUCAGCAUGAGCUAUAACUAAUUAUGACUAAAAUCCCCUGGGCAAACUGAUCUAGAUGUGGUGUCCCUAUUCAUUGCAGGGGAGUUGGCCCUUGGAGGUCCCUUCCAACUCUAAAGGUUCUAUGAUUCCAUGAUUAUGUGAUUCUAAUUCAGACAUGCAAAGUAGUCUGGGAGGGAACUGAGAGUCAGGUGGUAAGGCUAGGCCGUACAAAUCUACCUCAAUCUGUGAAUUUCAUUGUAGGAAGAGCAUUAGGUUGUUUUAGGGUUUUUUUUUUCCUAAUUUCUUUUUUAUUUCUUUUUAGGGUGUUUUUGUUGUUGUUGUUAUUGUUAUUGUUGUUUUUUUCCUUUAAGAUAUGAUUUAGACACCACUGGGAGUUACUUCGAUGUUGCCUUCCAAAUUGAGUGCUUUUAUUUUUUUAAUACUGUAGUGGAAAUGCUGAGUCACAGCUUGAAGCAGUGAUUGAGCACCUGGUGGGAAGGCAGGGCCAACCCAGGGGAGCUCAGGUGUAUGCAAUGCAGCUAAAUGACCAGAAGGGCUGGAGCCAGGAUUCACCCCUUCCCAUCCCUCAUUUAAGGGCUGGCAGUGGAGACAAGGUUAUCUCCCUGGAGGUCUGUGCCUACCUAAGGCUUUCCAAAGGUUAACUGCAUUUAAAUUACUGCUAGAUAAACUGCCCACAACUUGAAAUGAAUACUGGAUGAAAAACACAGCAUGUUCUACUCCCUUAAAGUUGUUCUGCAUAAUUUUUAACCAAGUUUUGGAUGGAAGAGGUGAAUUAUUGCACAGCAUAUAACUUUGGGCCACACACUCAAUGCUGCCACCCAUAAACGUCUUACCUCAUCUUGAAGGACUGGUGACACAAGGCUGUGCCCGACAUCAUGCAGGGGCUGUGUGAUGACUGAUUCCAGUGAAUGAAAGGGAGGAGGUAUCAAGGAUGCUGAAGAAGGAAUGUACCACUUGUCUGCAGAGUCUGGACAGAAGAGAAAGGGACAGUAGAAAAUGGGUCCACUUCAUCUCACUGGACGUGUUCAAAGGUGAUAACAAAGGCUGAAUGAACUUGGCUGCUGCUCUCCCCACCUACAGCCAAAGACUGAAUUUGGUGAUGGCCUUCCUUGAUAGCCAAGACUGUCAGCCCAAAAGAAAUGCUAAUCAGCCUGAUCUCACGUUCCAAGAAUGAAACCCUGGCAUGGAAGUGGCAUAUCUGCUAGUUAAUGUCAACAUUUGAUGUGCAGUCAGAGAGCAAACAGGAUUUCAUAUUGUGGUUAAAAAAUGGAAAUACUAUCCGCUUUAAUUCUAGUUUCUUUGUGUUGGAUGUAUCAGGAGUCUCAUAAAAUAGUAAAAGAAUUUAAUUUUUACUUGCAAUUAUAAGAAGCAAUAUAUAUAUAAUACAAUGUACCUACUUCUGCAAGUACAAACAAUAUGUAAAAAUCUAGCUAGUAAUGAAUAGCUUGAAACAUCCUUUGCAGAAAGCAUUAUAAUAAAAGACUUCAGUGACUUUGUUUAACACUCAGCUACUAAGAAGGGGAAGAGAACACUUGACUGUGAAUGAACUUCCCUAUAGCAAAAGGAAAUUUCUCCCUGAUUUACAAAUAGGCACAGAGAGACUAAGAUAUCAUGUAGAGUGGGUGCAGCUUGCUGUCCAGCUCUCACCAGUCCUGUGUAGAAAGCAAAUUAACCCAUGUGCUUUACUGUCCUCCAGUCUUCUGGACAACAGAUCACAGGAGAUCAUGUUUCAAGCAGUGAUGUCCCAAGUCUGGGAAGAGCUGAGCAAUGGGACUCUCACUGCUGUAGGAAGGCAGUGCUCAGAACCACAGGAUAGUCCUGGGCUCCCAGGGACAAUAAUGAAUGACAACCAUCACUGGCACAGCACUUCUGUGAGUCUCAGAGCAGAAACACCUGCCACAUAUCCCACCCUAGCAGGGAAAUGGAGCUGGUGACCUAGCAAUCUUUUCCACCUCUAACUUCUGGGUCUUUAUGAAUCGUCAGUCACACCUAGGUGUGAUAUCACUAUAAAAUCCCAGUCACGUAAGAGAGCUGGCAGAAAGCUUUGGCUUUCUGCAACUCUGUGGUUUUAUGCUUAGAUGUGUCCUAAAUACUGAAAGAAUGAAGUAGACUUUCAAGCAUCAGUGUUGACAGUUGCUUUCAGAGAUGUUCAAACAAAAUCCAGUCACAUAGACAGCAAAACCAGUUGCAGCACUAACAUGGCUUUUUAUUCUUUUAAAAAGAAAGCCAUCCCUAUCCAAACACACCUGUGGUGUGGAGUGACUGAUGCUGCUCUUUUUCAAGAUGUUGGCAUAGUUCUUUAUAGACUCAUAAACCCAUGGAAGCAUUUUGGUUAGAAAAGACCUUCAAGAUCAUCAAAGUCCGACUGUCAACCUCACCUACCAAGUGCCACCACUAAACCACGUCCCUUAGUGCUGCAGAACAUCCUCAGAGCAAACAAGAGUGCUGUGUCCAGUGCCAGCUCUAUACUUGGGUCAGUGGCAAUGAUUGGCUUCAGAUUAUGGGGACAUCUGCCUGAUUGCUGUAAUCUUAACACUGGGGCAGAGCUCAGUCUUCAGUACAUUUUUCUACACAGUAUGUUGUGUUGCAGUUGGAAAGUUUCUUUCCUUCUUCUCCUCUUCUAAAGUCAUGCAGCGGGAAAAGAAAACAUGGGAAACCGUGUCUUCAAAUCGUACACCUAUACUUCAUCUUGCUGUAUAAUCAUCACAAACAUUUGGUGGUGAGCUGUACUGUAUCUGUGUUUUGUCUGGAGUUUGGAAGUGGUUUUAACGAUUUAAAUCGCGGUGAAGAACAGGGCCGCUCAAAACGCAGAGCUGGAAAGCAGAACCGCGUCAGCAUCUGAAGUAUUUUAAAGUAGAUUUUGGUCCAGGUCCCGCUCCACUGUGUCCUCAUGUUGGGAAAGUAUAUUCAGAGCUGACAUGUCUUUCCCAGGUGUUUUCUACUGGGACAAAGUGCAGAGAGUGCAGUUAAUCAUGAGUGCAUUCAAGUGUCCUAAGGUCUUUGGGUGAAAGCUGUUAGAGACAUUGAAAAAGUGUUUAAUAAUCACAGCCCCAUGUCCUCAGCACAGGCUUUUUGGGUUCACAAAAGUUCAAACACCUUUUAAGAAAUUUAGGCCAAAACGUAAGCAGGCCAGAGCCAUACAGCAGUUGUAAUUGCAAUGGGGACAACACUUUGCUGAACCAUUUUCAGGAUCAUGACUACUUGCUAAGAUGCAUGCUGAGUGUUGCUGCUUUUAUAAACCACAGCAGGUUCAAAGGUACUCUGAGCAGUUUCCUAUAGUUGACAUAGAAAGAUAUACUUUUUUUUUCUUCCCAAUUGUCUCACUUUUAAAUAGUUUCAAUUGGAAGGGCAUAUAACAAUAAUCCCCAAGAGGAUUCAACAUUGGGUCUUUCAAUGGACUGUCAACACAUCCUGUUCUUUCUCAUUUGCUAUAUAUGUCACUAAAAACAAACUGGACAUAUAAGGUACCUGCCUUUUUUCAGCAAAAUUAUGACUCAUGGAUGACAGUAAAAAUACCCACAAGUUUUGUAACAACUAUGAAAGCUGCAAUCCCAGCUAAAAGAAAGAUAAAUUUUUCUCUGCUCUCCAUUUUCCUGCCUUUCUGUUGGUUCCUCAGACCAUCUUUAGGGAUAGCGUUGUGGCACACAACACCGAACUCCGUGCAACAGGCUGCUAUUGUGCUAGAGCUCUGUAUGGAGUGCUAUGGCCUAGCAAGGGAGAUGUGAAACUCACUAAAAAAAAGUUGUAUUUGUGAAAUGUUUUUGGAUUACAUAAAAACAUUGCAGAGGAUUUUAUUGCCCCUUGUUGUACCAGCUAAGAGUUACCCAAACCGUCCACAGAUGGAAGAAGAAAGGUUUAUCUACAGCUUUUGGAGUAGUUAGAAAGAAGACAGAUAAGCAAACUUCUCGGUUCUCUAAGAAGUAGAAACUAAGAGCAAAAGGAUUAGUACUAUAGGGAAACCAACACACACAUGAGGCCCAGUGUUCUCUCUUGCAUUUAAAUACAUAAGCACUUGCAAGUAUCAUAGCUAUGCACUAUUUUACACCAACUGCACAUGUUUCUGGUUGGUAUCCCUUUAGUGCGACAAGCUCCUUAGCACAACACUGAGCAAUACCUCAGUGCUGGUUUUUUUCUGCCACAAACCAAUUAAGUAUUGAGAAGUUAAUCAUUAGCCGGCCAGUUGUGCACUGAGACAGACUCCCUUCUUUGUCUUACGGUGUUAUUAAAUGCCUUCUUCUUUGAAAUGCCGCAUAAAAGUGAUAGAUGCCCUUUCUUUACAAGUCAGCCAUCCAGGCAAGCGAUGUUUUAUAUAAGUUCAGCCAACAAGAGCCCUCCUUGUUUAAAUAUAGAAGCAUAGGGCAGAUAAGGCUGAGCAAACCACUGCUGCCAUGAGCCUGGGCUGCAGAUAGGGGCUGGGGGCCGGAGGGCACUGCUGCACCAGAUUUCACCCAAGAAUUAUGGGGUGGGGACAGGAUACGAUGCGAAAAACAAACUAGGAUGAGGCCAAAUGGUCAUGUAUAUUUGCACUAGCACGAUGGAAAGCUAUCAGCAUCUCCUAAGGACGUUUCAUCGUUUUGAAGGGCAGUUUGGCAUGGAUACUGCCAUGGAAACACACAGUUGUACAAGCAGAUGAAUGAACAGGGAGAUGAAAAAGCAGGACUGAGUGAGACAGCAGAAUGUUCCCCUUCCCAAACCACUGAUCAUCUUCUCCCAGCAGCAAUGCUUCCCCACAUUUUUGCUAACUAGCUUUUACAAGGUAAAAUUGGUGCUCAGGAGAAUAAUGCUCACUUUGUUUGCCCCUGGUGGAAACACAAGGCCGUCAAGGCAGGGCUCAGCUAAUGUAUAAUCUAUAUUUACAUGUAAAAAAAAAAACCACCCUUAUUUAGGCUUUUGAUUUAUAAUCCCUAGUUUUCAUAAAAGUCACUCAUUCCCAGUGAAAGAAUGCAGAGUAGAUUUAUAGGAUCUGUAUUAUGCCUUAAAUCUUAAUGGCAUUUCUAAAGCACUUUUAUGAGUCAUCCUGAGAAAUGCUUUCCCUCUAUUUCCAAGACAUUGUUGUGUAAAAACAGAUCCAAAUCUUUACCUUAAAAGCAAGAUUAUUUUAGCCAACCAUGCUUGCAUCAACUCCACUGCAAUGCUAAACACUCUGUCUGCAAUGUCUUUAUAAGCCCCUAUUUCCAAGGGUUCACGGCUUGAAUGUAAAAUGCACUUUGUACUAUGUCUGAUAAGUUCUUUAACCUACAUGAGUGGUGAAUUUGUUUUCACCAUUAUAGCCAAAAUAAAAUAAAUCUUUGGAGGUAUCUGUAGGAAGGAGCUGGUGACACACUGGAACAGGUUGCCCAAGGAGGCUGUGGAUGCCCCAUCCCCGGAAGCAUUCGAGGCCAGGCUGGAUGUGGCUCUGGGCAGCCUGGUCUGCUGGUUGGUGACCUGCACAUAGCAGGGGGAGUUAAAACUGGGUGAUCACUGUGGCCCUUUUCAACCCAGGCCAUUCUAUGAUUCUAUGAUAAAAGGCCUGAUGCUGCGCCCUCCCCCUGUCCCUCACACCAUGUUCUUUGCUUUGAGAUAUGAAAUACACAAAGCUCAGGUUCAAUCAGAAGCAGCACCAUCUGAUCCCAAGUACAUUAAUCACAUGCACACAUACAGAAGUGCUGGCUGGGCAUUAACAGUGCCAUGCCAACUCUCAAACAGCUCUCUGUAGAGCCAAUAUCCUUUAGAUGGAAAUUUAAAUGUGUUUUGAAGAAGUGAAGAGUUGAGUAUCAUAACACGGAACGGUACAGAAGCAAUUUCUUAAACAUUUUUUUAGGAAGCCAAGUAGCAACUAGUUCAUGCAAAUAUGUUAUUGCAAACCACAAAUACGUAUGCUCACUGAUGAGAUGUUUCAGCAGGACUAUUCCUGAUACCAAGUGCACCAUUUAGCAGAUGUAUCAGCAGAAACUAGGUCCUCAGUGAGUGACGAAUUGCGUAGAUCUUUGUAAAGCAUCUAUCCCCUUGUUAACAAACAUGUUGCAUCUUUUGGAAGAGGCCAAGAGAACUGACUCCAAAUGACAGAAACAACAGUAUGGGAUCCAAAGGAGUAGCACCAAAGUCUUGUGAGCACACACUUGGCUGAUUCCCCUUUGCCUUUGACUCUGUAUUCAUGGCUUCACAGCUCAUCACCUACCUCUGUUGCUGAAGCUGUCUCUGCACAGAAUAGUCAAGGGCCUGGAUCAAGCAGCACAAUCUUGGGAGAAGUGGGAGCUAAGGAGGCAAGGGAGAGCCUGUCACCCACCCACCAUCAGUCUACUACGGAAAAUGCAACAGCAGAUUGUGAAUGAAGUUGUCCAACCUAGAGCAGGUACAGUGAUAGUCCAGAAGGAGGCAAGAGCUCCAUGGGGGUGACCAGGCACCACACAAAUGUUUCAGAACCUGAAAAAGAUACAAGACACAAAAACAAGAUCUCCAUAUCAAUGUUUCUGGCAUAGCUCUGUAAAUUCUGCCUAAAUGUCAUUUUAGUUAUGUAAUUUUUUUAAUUUAUUUUUAUUUUUAUUUUUUUGUCAGGAGUCUUCCAAAUAAAUAACUUUUUUUUUUGCAAUAUAAAUGUGAACAUAUCAGAAUCCAUGUCAUAAUUCAGGCUAACCUUCCAUAUUUUAUUUCACUUUUUUAUCCUGAGAUUUUAGAGUUUUCUUUAUGAUGAAAAAAAAUUUAGAAGGUUUGAUUUUUGUUUUCUUUUUUGUUGUUUGGUAUUCUAAACUAUGUUAUUUAACCUGAACAUGCUCAAAAUGAAUGGGAAAUACUUGCGUUCCACACAGCAUUAUUGUAUGCUAUGUAUCAGGUACAACCAAUAGAGAAAGACAAAUAACCUGGGAACAGCAAACACUUGCAGUGAAUUAUGUUUCUGAGAAUCCUGAAUCACAUUUCAAAGUGCUCAGAAUAUUAUCCCACUAAAUCAAGUAUUUACUGUGGAUCCAGUCCUGCAGCCUCCAUUCGUGUGAACAGUCCCAUCCAUAGUAAGAGGACUGCAGAGGUAAAGGCCAUUCCUGAGUACAUAUUUUCAGAAUCCACUGUUCUUUCCUUACAUGCUUUAAAAUUAAAAUUUUACAUUUGCAAUCACAUUUUCUAUGGCAAAGAGAUUUUCAAACAGUCUCCGUUUCCCAUCUGGUUAAUCUUUACAGAUAAGAUCCAUCAUAAACACAGACAUUACGUUUUGGCAAACAUUUGGAUUUUUUUCGAUAGUUUUUCUUCGAGUCAAAAAAUGAAAUCAUUAUUUUAAUGUCAAAGUAAGCAACAAUCAAAGUCUUCAAACUAUGGCAUCACAUUGUGAUCCUUAGUAUUAAAAAAUACCUCUUCAAAGAAUUUCUUAAUCAAGAGCCAUAAAGCCUAAUGACUUGUAGGUGUUAAUAUUCCUGCCAUGUUUUGCAUACAUACAUACAUGUCACUCCUAAGGCCAUAGAAGAGGUCAGCAUCAACAAGCAAAGAAACUCUGAAUUUCUACCUCUCAUAUUACCACCAUUAAAUAGAUACUGAUAUUUGUAUAUAAUCUGUUAAGAUAAAUUCUGAAAGAAGAAAGAAAGAGAAGAAGAGGAGAAAACAACCCCCAGGGGUUUAUCAACAGAGCUCAAAUUACUUCCAGGCAUCCAACGUCAAUAAUAUACACAUACUUACACAGGUACCAACACGAGACGUGAUUAUUCAGUAUUCAGAGUUCUUGGCUUUGGUCAGCCAAACAGUUAAACAAGUGCUGAAAUUGGAGUGUGUGAGGAGCCCUAGUGAAACAUCAGAUGACUGCCUGCCAACCACUUAAGGCUCUGCAUACUGCUACUGCAGAGUGUGCUUUUGCUGCUAUUCAGCUAUUUUCAACGUUUGAAGUUAAAACACACAUUGAGCACAGUUCCAGUUCUUUGUUACUCCACUGAAGCACGGGAGGUGGAAAAAAAACUUCAGAAUUCUCCACUGCUAUCCCCAGUGCAGAUCAGACUGUGAUAUCCAUGGCCAAGACUGAAACUCAUAGCAGGUAACCCAUGGGAAGUGCGUGUUUAUAGCCUCUAAAACCCCAAUCUCCAAUGGCGAAGGCAACCAAAGCCCUUAGGAAAGCUCCUGGAGUUUAGACACAGACUAGACUGCAGAAGCACAAUCUUGCACUAAAACUCAGCUACUCUUUCAUCUCAGCCUACUCAAUGGACACAUCAAACAGGCAGAUGUAAAGCACCCUCCAGGUAAGACCCCCUGUGAAAUACUGCAAAGCAAGAAUUCCUGUCUGCUGUCUUCAUCAAGCGUCCCGCCAACUACUCACUUUACCUUCCAGAAAUGCUUAUUAUUAGAUGGAAUAGGUCCAUCAGAAGAGGUUGGAUAAAUCCUCUCCCAAAACAGGGAGCCAUCCAGUGACAAAGUACUGCCUCCAAAGACAGAUGGUGGAGGGCCACAUCUUUUCACAGAAACAGAGGAGUGUCAAAGGCCCACUGUUCUUACAUUUAUCUCAUCAUUACAAAUAACCAGAGUCAAGUGCCAUAACAUGCCAGUACCAAAGCUUUUCCUCAUAAGGUCAGAGGAGCAGGCUGCCCCAGAGGCUGUGCUGUCUCCACCCUGCGAGUUUUCAACACCAGACAGCACAAAACCCAGCUGCAGUUUCCAAAUGACCAUUGUAAUGAAAUAUUGUAUUUUCAAAUGCAUAUUUUAUAGAAGCAGGAAAUGUUUUUCACCUUCGUUCUUUCCACUAGCUCAGGAACAUGCUUUUUCCCUCUUAGCAAAAGCUUUUAGCAGUUGAGAUGUAUAAUCUGUGUGGAGGACUUUACGGCUGCGCACGGCAUAAUGCCUGGAUGUCAACUGAGACUCAAAAAGCAAUGUCUUUUCAGCUGCACUAGACGAUGUAUUUGAUACAGACAGUAAGCACAUUUAAUGCAGACAGAAAAUUGUAUUGUGGGAGGCCAUGAGAAGCCAGCCUUACUCUGUUGCCUUUGGACAAUCAACCUACGCUGUUCUUAGCAUGUGUGUGUCUUUCUUUAAAAAAGCCUUGUCUGGUGUAGGUUACAAAAUUUGCUCUGGCAUUUUCUUUUUUUUUUACUUCAGGACGCCAAAUGACAAAGAUAUUAUCACACAUCAUGUUGGUUUGGCUCUGAGAUUUAGUAUGUGUCUUGUUCUUAGCCUAGCUUUUUCUUCUUUGUCACACUUAUGCUAUCCAACUGGAGACUGUUCACCAACCUCAAUAGACAUGUCUACAUGCUGAUUCACUAAGUCACAUAUAUUUGUAAAUGUAUUAGCUGGCAGCUAAGAAGUUUUUCUUGAUCACAAAGAGCUGAACAUUCUCCUAGCAGAGAUAAUUAUCAUGGACAAGUAGGGGCAGGCUAUCAGCUACAGACACUGAAAUGCAUAUUACUUGUUGAAGCACGAGUUACUCUUGCUCUUGAAUUGCAUUAUCUCAUACAUUCCUCUCUUGAAAGCUUCCUUUUAUUAAGUAUAUACCAUGUAUGCCUUAAAGCUAGCACUCCCUUUUUGGCUUGAUCCAGUUUGGAGUACGGAUAAACCACUUCAGAGAAAACGUCUGGAGAUGAUGAGAAUAGUAUUGGCUAAUGCCUUGUGCUCCUGACCUUCACUUCAUAUCCCUGUGCUGGCUCAAAGUCUGUUGAUCUGGUUACAGGAUCACAAGCAGAUGUUGCCAAAGUCUUUUCUGAUUUACUGAGUCAGCAACUCAAGGUGUAAUAAGGUUUAAGCCUGAGACUCCAUCCCAACUGCUGAAAGAAAUGAGGGGAGAGAGAGACAGAGGCCAGAAAGGGGAACUUCAGUUAGGAAUGACAAGAAAACAGGACUUCUGAAGAGUCAUUACAUUCAGAAAACCAAAUGUUAUCUGUGAAUUCCUCCCCUCCCUCUGCAAAAAAAAAAAAAAAAAAAGUAACUGGGAAGCAAAAACUUCAGGCCAUGUACUCACAUGGUGGUCAGGUGCUCACAGGAACAUGGGACUGCUGGGCUGCCCAUUUGGCUUUGGUGUCUUCACCUGACCGCGUUGCAAUCCUAAACAAGACAGUCUCAUCAUAAGAUCUGCUUUUGGAAUCAGAUGCAUUGCUAUGAAAAAAAAAAAAAUCAGUCCAAAAAAACCUGCAUUUUCUUAUCAAAAUGAAUUUUUUUUUUUAACUUUCACCUGCUGACCUGCCCACUCCAGCUGAGGGUUACAGAAGAGAAGACUCUCUCUGGACCAUGAGAUCCAGCAAACAUCUCUUAACAGAAGUACAGACUCAUUGAGUGAUCAGAAGUUACUUAUUUCCAGUACAUAACAUAAAAGACAGAAUCAUCUUCACAUUGAAUAAUUACUGCCAGAGCUGAAUCAGAAACUGCCAAAGAUGCAGGAAAGAAUCCAACAUUUUUCUACAAAGAUUCACAGCAAAUAUGAAUUCCCUUCCCUUUCCUUUUUCCUUUCCCUUCCCUUCCACCAUAACUCCUUUCACUUCAUUCCCUUUGAAUAACUGACCACGAAUGAAUUUAGUGAGGGAAUGGUACGCAAGAAAUCUUUGGGCAAAUCCUCAGCUGUUUCAAUAGGCUGCAGUAAAGCUACACUCAGUUACAUCCUGAAGAUGCACCAGAGUGGAUGUGAAAAGCUCUCUUGGAGAUUAUUCACCUCGUAUGAAAGCAGCUGCUCCCAUCAGCUAUCUCAGCUUAAAGAUUUUGGUUAUUGAGUCAGGGGACGGAACAAUGGUAUGGGAUUGAGCCCAAGCAAUUAACUCUUCCCUCAACUUUAUUACUGAAUCCUGAACUGGAAUCCCACAGAGAACCUGUAACAAUCUUAUUCAGAUCAAAGCCCCCACUUUUUAAAUAAUGAGAAGUUUGGAAAACAAAAUCAAAGAGCAGCCUAUGAUUCACACGCAGAAAUUUUAUAAAAACCACAAAAACAAAAAGCCCUUAAUUGAGGCCUUUCAACCCAACCAAGUAUUCAUUCUGAGAUAAUUACUGCCAUAAAACCCUCUGCCACGGAGACACCGACUAGAAAAAGUUUGAAUUGCACACAGAACUUAAGGAAAAAGGUGGCUGGGAUCUAACCCUGCUGAGACCUGAAAAGAAGGAAAAGUUCUGGGGGGAACCAAGCCUUCAGUGCAAGUCAUUCCUCUGUAAAAACAUGUCAUCAUUGAGAAGACGCUUCAAGAAAAGACUGGGGAAGAUUUUCCAGGAGUAAACCAGGUACUCUUAUAAAUAAGAAACAAAUGGCAACGCACAUCACAUGGGUAAAUUGCCAUGAGUAGCAUUAAACAUUGUCUUGAACAGAUGAGUCAACAGCCGGCAAUGCAACUGAUUAAAACGAAAAUUAAAUUGUUUCUAAUUCGUGGUGCAUGAAGUGCUACAGUAAAAAAAAAAAAAAAAAAGAAAGAAAAAGAAGGAAAAAAAAAAAAGAGAAAGUCUUCUACUGUUGGGAUUCCUCUGUUCUUUCAAGCUACAAUAGGUUCUGAGCUGCACAACAUCAAAACUGUCACUAAUCUUUGCUCCAGUCCUGCCUGUUUGGGCACCUCACCAAAGAUGAGGGCAAUUCUUGGAGCAAUGCAAUGCUCAGUCCCUGCCGUAGUCCUGCCUCACAAAUAGUUUGGUUUUGUGGUUGUUGGCCAAUAUCUGAAAUGAUAGAAUUUCCAGACUGAAAGGGAUCCACCAGAACCACCAAAUCCAACUCCUGUUCACUCUCAAUGUACUGAUUGAGAAGCUUUAGACUGACAAAAAAAGUACACUUAUGAGGUUCUCCAAAGAUUAUUGAUUAUUACUGCUAAGGACUUUCAGAUGAAAUGGCUUUAACAUAACUUUUACUGAAAAUUCUGUAUGACAGAGAGCUAUACUAAACAGGAACUAUUUCUCUCAAUAUAGAUAUACUUCACAAUGGUUGCAUGGUUAGUCAAACAUCCCUACA